rfam:Schistocephalus solidus strain NST_G2 genome assembly, scaffold: SSLN_scaffold0004214
GUAUGGUUGUAUUUGUUUCUUAGGUAUGAUCGUCGGAGCCAUGUGUGCGGUCACUGGGGUGCUUACCAUAGCCCUUCCUGUACCAGUUAUCGUCUCAAAC